GCUAUACAAAAAAAAACCAUCAACAACAACAAAAAAGUAUAUUACCAGGUUAAUACCGUCUCUGAGAUAUGGGCAAAACCAGAGGUGAAAAAAAGGAAGUUACUGCUAAGUUGGAAACAAGAUGAGAAAGCUGACAUCAGAGGAUAAACAAGUGCCAAUCCUUGCCAGGAUGUAAGACAAAUUUGAAAAGAGACUUGUAGUGAGAUGCUCAGAAUCCACAUGCUGUGAGAAGAAUGGGAGCCAGAAAGAGAGAACACCUGAACUUAGUGUUUCUUUUGUCAUUUGUUCCUGGUUUGGUCAGAUCAGAGACUUGGAUGGAAAAAUUGGCAGGUGGGUCGCAGGUUCAUUUCUGACCCUGUGUAUUGGGGCCUUUUUUUUCUUAGAACCAACUUUCCUGUGUAGUCUAAAGGAAAUAGCAGAGUUGUGGGUUGAAAAACAUAAAAGACAAAAUUAGAAGACCGGGAAAAAAUGGUGAAAAAAAAAUCUUCCAAGCCAGAAGAAGAAAAUCUAUUGCUAGUAUUUUGUGAAAAGUUUCAGUGUUUCACCUAAAGUCAAAGAGACCAGGUUAAGGUAGCCCAAUAAAUGAGUUAUGGAAAGUGAGGUGAAAAUAAACAUGACAUCUUCAAGUACUGAGGACACAGCACACACAUUUUUGAUUGCUGUUUAUAUGGAAGCCAUCUGAAAGCAUUAACAUUUUCAUUAGUUAUUAAAUCUGAAAGCCUUAACAUUGUCAUUAGUUUCAAAGUUAGAGAAGGGCUCUCUAACUUUAAUGUUCUUUUGAACUACCUGGGGAUCUUGUUAAAAUACAGAUGCUAAGUUUCUGUAGGUUUCUGGAGUACGGUCCAAGAUUCUAAUAAGCUCCCAGGUGACCCAGAUGCUGCUGACUACAGCUCAAACAUAGAAGAAUGAUCCCUCCCUGACUUCCUCUUCUGUCCUCCUCCCCAUCAUAGAAUUUUAGAGUUGGAAAGGAUUUCAAAGAUCUUGUCCAGCUACUGCUAAAAUACUGAUUUUGGAAUGAGUGCCUUCAAAUCACCAGGGUCAUCUUAAAAAUCUAGAUUCUGAGGCUGAUGUCAUAGGUCUGUGAGAAGCCCCAGGUGUUGGUAUUUUUUUUGGGUUCCCCAGAUCAACUGAAAGAACAAUAAAGGUUUUUCACUGUUAGCACCUUCUCAUUUUAUAAAUAAGGAAAUAAAGGUCAUGAGUGGUUAUAUAACCCACUGAACAAGACCUAGUUGGUUGGUGUCAUCAGGACUAGAAUUUCAAGGCUGUUUUGCAGCACACUACUCUGCUAUUUCCUUUAGGCUACGCAGGAAAGUUGUUUCUAAGAAAGAAAAGCAAUUGCCUAUCCCUGAGCAAAUGAUUCUUAAGUGUAAACUAAAAGUCAGGUCCAGUGUUUAAUGGCAUGCCAUUCAACACAGAACAUUUUUCACUUGCUGGAAGCAAGCCCAAAGAGAUCUAAUAUGCAUUAGUUUCUAUCUUACCCUGAAAGGAGGUUGGAUAGAGAAGAGUACUGUGGAAAUGGAAAUGUUUUACCUUUUAUUCCUCUUGGAGAUACUUUCAUAGU